rnacentral:lncRNA from 1 species
GGACACCCGAAACCACAUGCUGCUUGACUCCACAGCAGGGGGCCCCUUGACCAGGCUAGGAAGGCCAUCCUGAGCCUCAGCUCCUCUAGCUUCUGCCCAUUCCUUUCCUUUUAAAGAUUCAGAAAUGCUUGCUUGUGUUUCAUAUUUCCAAGCCUCCCAUUCUGUUUUACCCGUAGGUCAUCGCUGUAUUGCAGUUCAUAAUUUUGCUAUUACAUGUUCUGUGAAGUUAGCCUUAGAGAGCAGCACGUCUCUCCCACUUCUAAUGAUAUAAACUCCGGAUAUCAUGAGGAUGCGUCUACUGUCACAACAGUCAGGCAGCCAUCACACUCAGUUCUGAGUUGGUAGCCUUCCUAAUCAAUGGCAUGUUUUGUUUUCUCCUUUCAUAUGGGGCUGUUCUUUCCAGAGUGUCCUGCCAUUCUUUGUAGCUACAAAACUGGCAAAAAUACGGAAGCCGACUUUGGAUAAGCCCUCUGCAGAGACAUUUGUGAAGUCUGCAAUUAAAACAGUAGGUCUGCAGACCCGAACCACUGGAUAUGUGAUCCACGCCAUCAUGGGCUCAAUAAACUCAAUCUUGCCCCGUUGGAUUUAUUUUAAAACAAUCAUGGGUUUCAACAAGUCUUUGCGGAAUCGCUAUCUGAAGAAAACCAAGAAGAACUAAGUACUGCUGGGUCAUCGAGCUCCUUGGCCAGACGCUUGACCUGUGCUUGCAUACUGGGCCCCUGCCUGUCCCCAGAGUCUCU